CCUACGGGAGGCAGCAGUGAGGAAUAUUGGUCAAUGGUCGAGAGACUGAACCAGCCAAGCCGCGUGAGGGAUGAAGGUACAGAGUAUCGUAAACCUCUUUUGUCAGGGAACAAAGGCGGGGACGUGUCCCCGGAUGAGUGUACCUGAAGAAAAAGCAUCGGCUAACUCCGUGCCAGCAGCCGCGGUAAUACGGAGGGUGCGAGCGUUAUCCGGAUUUAUUGGGUUUAAAGGGUGCGCAGGCGGCCUGUUAAGUCAGCGGUAAAAGCCCGGGGCUCAACCCCGGCGAUCCGUUGAAACUGGCGGGG
rnacentral:rRNA from 1 species